AUUGCAGAUGGGGGUUGUUGAAGGUGCUUAACUGAUUCAGAGGAGAUUGACAUCAGUCCAUGACAGGUUCGCUGCUAGCGUCUUCUUCUUCUUCUUUUUUCCAUGAAGGUGUUUCAUCAGUAGCUCGACGCACAAAC